UGGGGAAUAUUGGACAAUGGGGGCAACCCUGAUCCAGCAAUUCUGUGUGCACGAAGAAGGUUUUCGGAUUGUAAAGUGCUUUCAGCAGGGAAGAAGAAAGUGACGGUACCUGCAGAAGAAGCGACGGCUAAAUACGUGCCAGCAGCCGCGGUAAUACGUAUGUCGCAAGCGUUAUCCGGAAUUAUUGGGCAUAAAGGGCAUCUAGGCGGCCCUGUAAGUCUAGGGUGAAAACCUGCGGCUCAACCGCAGGCCUGCCCCGGAAACUACAAGGCUAGAGUAUCGGAGAGGUGGACGGAACUGCACGAGUAGAGGUGAAAUUCGUAGAUAUGUGCAGGAAUGCCGAUGAUGAAGAUAGUUCACUGGACGGUAACUGACGCUGAAGUGCGAAAGCUAGGGGAGCAAACAGGAUUAGAUACCCUGGUAGUCCUAGCUGUAAACGAUGAUUACUGGGUGUGGGCAUGAAGAGUGUCCGUGCCGAAGCAAAUGCGAUAAGUAAUCCGCCUGGGGAGUACNNNNAGCAAGGCUG
rnacentral:rRNA from 1 species